AGCGAACGCUGGCGGCAGGCCUAACACAUGCAAGUCGAACGAACUCUUCGGAGUUAGUGGCGGACGGGUGAGUAACACGUGGGAACGUGCCUUUAGGUUCGGAAUAACUCAGGGAAACUUGUGCUAAUACCGAAUGUGCCCUUCGGGGGAAAGAUUUAUCGCCUUUAGAGCGGCCCGCGUCUGAUUAGCUAGUUGGUGAGGUAAAGGCUCACCAAGGCGACGAUCAGUAGCUGGUCUGAGAGGAUGAUCAGCCACAUUGGGACUGAGACACGGCCCAAACUCCUACGGGAGGAAGCAGUGGGGAAUCUUGCGCAAGGGGCGAAAGCCUGACGCAGCCAUGCCGCGUGAAUGAUGAAGGUCUUAGGAUUGUAAAAUUCUUUCACCGGGGACGAUAAUGACGGUACCCGGAGAAGAAGCCCCGGCUAACUUCGUGCCAGCCGCCGCCGUAA
rnacentral:rRNA from 1 species